GACGAACGCUGGCGGCGUGCUUAACACAUGCAAGUCGAACGGAAAGGCCCUGCUUGCAGGGUACUCGAGUGGCGAACGGGUGAGUAACACGUGGGUGAUCUGCCCUGCACUUCGGGAUAAGCCUGGGAAACUGGGUCUAAUACCGGACAGGAGCCAUUUUUAGCGUGAUGGUUGGAAAGUUUUUUCGGUGUAGGAUGAGCUCGCGGCCUAUCAGCUUGUUGGUGGGGUAAUGGCCUACCAAGGCGGCGACGGGUAGCCGGCCUGAGAGGGUGGACGGCCACAUUGGGACUGAGAUACGGCCCAGACGCCUACGGGAGGCAGCGGUGGGGAAUAUUGCACAAUGGGCGCAAGCCUGAUGCAGCGACGCCGCGUGGGGGAUGACGGCCUUCGGGUUGUAAACUCCUUUCGCUAGGGACGAAGCUUUUUGUGACGGUACCUAGAUAAGAAGCACCGGCUAACUACGU
rnacentral:rRNA from 1 species